rnacentral:rRNA from 1 species
GACGAACGCUGGCGGCGUGCCUAAUACAUGCAAGUUGAGCGCUGAAGGUUGGUCCUUGUACCAACUGGAUGAGCAGCGAACGGGUUAGUAACGCGUGGGGAAUCUGCCUUUGAGCGGGGGACAACAUUUGGAAACGAAUGCUAAUACCGCAUAAAAACUUUAAACACAAGUUUUAAGUUUGAAAGAUGCAAUUGCAUCACUCAAAGAUGAUCCCGCGUUGUAUUAGCUAGUUGGUGAGGUAAAGGCUCACCAAGGCGAUGAUACAUAGCCGACCUGAGAGGGUGAUCGGCCACAUUGGGACUGAGACACGGCCCAAACUCCUACGGGAGGCAGCAGUAGGGAAUCUUCGGCAAUGGACGAAAGUCUGAACGAGCAACGCCGCGUGAGUGAAGAAGGGUUUCGGAUCGUAAAACUCUGUUGGUAGAGAAGAACGUUGGUGAGAGUGGAAAGCUCAUCAAGUGACGGUAACUACCCAGAAAGGGACGGCUAACUACGUG